CAAAAGAAGACCUCUCUCUCUCUCAAGCUCUCCUCUCUCUCUCUACACGGGUGGAUCUUGGAGGAGGAUUUGGUGAACAAGAUCAAGAGAGGGAUUAGCAUCUUCUUCUUCUUCCUCUCCACCAUUGGAGCUUGCUUUGGAGGUCUCUGAACGCGUCGGCGAAGAUGGUUCGUCGAUUUGUCGAGCGGGUGCAAAGAUAUUGAAGAAAAGGCUUGUUGAGGUACAGAUUGCCGCAGCUCGCGGCGAAAGCUGCCUAAAAUCGCGAAAUCGGAAUCGUGGGCUCGUGGCAUCGCCUAAAGGUCCGAAUACUAGCGCGCCGGUCGAGGAUCGUUGUAAGGGCUUGGCGCCCUAGGCAUUUGGUAGCUUACUUUCCUAUGCAUUAGUAGUACCCUAUUUCUAUUUUGAGAGUAGAUGAUGUAUAGGGUGUGAGGUAUUUUGGA